UCCUACGGGAGGCAGCAGUGAGGAAUAUUGGGCAAUGCCCGAAAGGGUGACCCAGCAACGCCGCGUGGAGGAUGAAUGCCGUAAGGUUGUAAACUCCUGUUAGAGGGGAAGAAAAAUCUCGAUCAAAUCGGGAACUGACUUACCCUCCUAGAAAGCCCCCCUUUCCC
rnacentral:rRNA from 1 species